rnacentral:tRNA from 1 species
UUGUAGCGCAAUAGAUAGCCCGUUGGACUUCUAAUUCAAAGGUCGUGGUUUUGAAUCCCACCUGGAAAG